CACAUUUAUAUCAUUAUGAACAAGUAUGUCCCUACAUGACCACAAGUAACAAUCAUGAUUUGCUUUAUGGUAUUAUGAAGAUCAUGCUUUACUAAGAUAAACAAUGUUUACAUGAAUGCAAUAAGCAACAUCUCCUAGCAUGCUAUAUGUAUAUAUGUAUACUCAAGUGUCCAACAUUAUGCUAGAAGCAAGUCCAAGUAAUCCAACUACUACUCUCUAUCUAGUAGUGAUUAAAACCCACUCGACACCAUGUCGAUUUCCAUUUCUAAUUAAGGACCUAUCCAAGGUAGUCCAGCUUGCGCCGCCUAAGUGCCUGUGGUAGCCCAACAUUCCUGCUCUUGGAAUGUGUCUGUCCCACUGACCCCGUAGGCUUCUCAAUACCGCACGAGCGAACAUAGGUCGCGUAGGCUAACUCCGGAGUGCCGGCUUGUAGGGAGCGACCCUCACAAGCAUGUGUGAAUGAGCACAAAUGGCAAACAAGCGUAGUCAAAGGCUCAAGUAUCCAACCCUCAUGUCUCAAACAUGGCAAUAGCUACUAGUAACCCAACGGUCUAGCUCUAUGUCACAAUGCGAUAUCUCAACGCUCACUUGCUUAGUGCCUCUUUAUGACACUUAAGCACCACAACUAAUCAAGCUCAAUUCAUGUCCUAUGUCCCAAAUAUGACAUUAAUACCAAUGUUCACUAUGGCUCGGGGCCCAAUGCCUCUUUAUGACAUUGACCCAAAAUCCCAAAUAAUCUAAGUCCCCAAGCCUCUCUAGGCUUCCAAAGUCCCUAAUGUCACGAUUAGGCAUAAAGGUAAAAUACAUAAAAGCAAUGUUCAUUUUCAUAAUAGGAAUCAUGGUUUCAAGUCUCAACUAGAAUGCUAUAUCCCACAUGCAUGCACCCUACCACAUAGGGGGUCCAAAAAUUUACUAUACAUAACAUAUGCAUGUUAAGCAUUCUAAAAUUCAUAAUAAAUAUAUCUAACAUGAUUAUGCAUGCUUUUUCAAUUAACGAUAAUCAAAUCAUCACAAAUGAGAUUUUCUCAUUGUGUGACUAGGUCAAACCCACCGAACCGUCGCGUAGUCCUUCGUUUCGCUGGAACGGAUUUGUCCACGAGUCUCAAAAUACCCUAAAAGUAUUGAGCGAAGAGAUACACGGGCAUUACGAUCAACUAUAAGAUCAAAUAUUAACCAACAAGACAAAAGGCUAAAAUCUCACCUAGGGUGGGGAAAAACUCUCACAAGCUCCAAAAGAAGGCUAGAAUCCUUCAAAUCCAACCCAAAGAAGGGUUCUAAUCCAAUGAAUCUAGCUCCAAAAGCCCUAGAUUCAAAACACCCAAAAUUAACCCUAAAACCUCAUUCUAGGAUUCCAACUACCAAAAAGCAAUAAAACUCAAAUCUAGAGGAAGAGAAUGAGCUACUAACCUCUUAGAAGCUUCCAACAAGGUUCUAACUUCACCAAGUGUGGAGAUCUUCCUCCUCUCAAGCCCCAAACCCAAGCUCCAAUGGUGGAAAAGCCUCCAACACCCAAAAAGGAGCAAAAAGAGAGGCUUUAAUCUCUCUAAAUCCAAAUAAAAACCAAGGGAAUCAAAGGGAAGAGUGUGGAGGGCUCCCUUACCGCUCCUCUUGCUGCUGGUGAGCUCAGAGGAUGCCUCAAGGGCGUGGGUGGUGAUAUAAGAGACCCACAAUUGCAAAAACAUUCCUGCAGUUCAAACUGCUCAAAAUCUGCCACCUUGUACCGGUACACGGGCCCCUGUACCGGUACAAGCACUACGAAACAUCACAACCCGAGGCUCGGGUUGGGAGUUCAACGGCUCUGUACCGGUACAAGCCCGGUGGCUGUACCGGUACAACCAUCAACCCUACACCAGUACAGCCAUCAGCUUGUACCGGUACACAGCCCUGAAAACAGCAAUCCGAGAGCAGCCUAAGUCCAACUUUUUGGUGACCUUAGGGCUACUUUAAAUACCUCAAAUCUCGACAUACGAGCCAUUGGUCGGAAGACUGUCAACGACCUACCAGAAAAUCUGGAAAUGCUCAGAGCACAACUCAGACACUCGAACCUCACAAUUUGCAAAGGUCCAGUGUGUUACAUUCACCCCUCCUAAAAAGGAGUUUCGUCCGCGAAACUCGAAAAGUCAAAAUACUUCAAGUCUCCAUCAGAAAAAAUGGGGGUAGCGCUCCCGCAGUGCGCUCUUCAACUCCCAAGUGGUCUCGCGCUCGUCGUGGUUACUCCAAAGCACCUUCAUGUAGGGAAUCUCACGGUUCCGCAAUCCCUUACCUCGCGAGCCAAAAUUCUCAAAGGUUGCUCUUCAAAGCUCAAAUCAUCCCUCAGCUCUAUAGGUGUGGCGUCCAACACAUGAGCCAGAUCAUGAAUAUACUUCCAAAGGACCGAUACAUGGAAUACAUUAUGUACACCCGAUAGGUUCGUCGGUAGAGCAAGUCUAUACACUACCGGGCCUACACGCUCCAAAAUCUCAUACGGUCCAAUGUAUCGGGAGCUCAACUUGCCCCGGAUGCCAAAUCUUCUAAUCCCUCUCGUCGGCGAGACUUCCAAGAAGACAUGAUCUCCAAUCUGAAACUCCAAGUCUCGUCGACGUCUGUCAGCAUAGCUCCUCUGCCUACUUUGGGCAAUCAACAGUCGCUCCCGAGCAAUGCGAACCUUGCUCUCCGCCUUCUGGAGCACAUCUGGGCCUAAAGCCAAUCUCUCGCCAACUUCACUCCAAAGAAGUGGCGAUCUACACUUCCGUCCAUAGAGUGCCUCGAACGGUGCCAUCCUGAUGCUUUCUUGAUAACUAUUGUUAUAAGCAAACUCUGCCAUCGGUAGAUGCUGCGACCAUCCUCUCUGGAAUUCAAUCACACAAGCUCGAAGCAUAUCCUCGAGAGUCUGUAUAGUACACUCCGACUGCCCGUCACUCUGGGGGUGGAAAGCAGUACUGAAAUCCAAGUGCGUACCCAAGCAUGCUGUAAACUCCUCCAAUGAGAUACAAAAUGGGGAUCUCGAUCUGAUAUUAUAGAGGUAGGUACCCCGUGCAAUCGCACAAUCUCAUCGAAGUAAACCUGUGCGAGUCUCUCACCAGUCCAAGCAGUGUGGAUAGGUAUGAAAUGUGCCGAUUCGUCAAUCUAUCCACGAUCACCCAAAUAGCGUCAUGCCCGGCCUGUGAGCGGGGCAAUCCCAUCACAAAGUCCAUGAUGAUCUUCUCCCACUUCCACAAUGGAAUUAGUAAGCUCUGCAACUUUUCCGCAGGAACUCGGUGCUCAGCUUUCACCUGCUGGCAAGUUAAGCAUCUAGCAACAAACUCACCAGCAUCCUUUUUUAUCUUGGGCCACCAAUAAAGCAACUUCAAGUCCUUGUACAACUUUGUGCCUCCCGGAUGGAUAGUGUAAGGUGCUCGAUGUGCUUCUUGAAGAAUGUCCUCUUUAAUGCCCAAAUCCGCCGGUACACACAGCCAUCCGCGAAAACACAUCAAUCCCUCACCGUCCAAUCUUACUUGGCACGAACGGUUUCGAUUCAACAUUCGAGAUAGCUAUUCUUCCAAAAAUAACAGAAACGUCUAAUCGUCUCAACUUGCUCAUCCUAGCGAUUGCUUGAUUCAUCAAUCGGCACAGCGCUGCGAUGUCUCCACAUCAAUCUCAACUCACCACUCGGGAGUAUCCUCAAAUCCUCUGUGAUACAUGGCCCGGGACUAAGCUCAAAGGCUUCAUCAAUCCACUAAGGUCAUCAUCUUAGUCCCAACUCAAAUUCAAGUAAACUCUUGUAAGCCUAGGCCAGGGGCCUAGCUUAGACAGAAGGUUCACAACACGAUCACUUAGAAAUUUUCGAUCUCAAUGCUUUUCCCAGCAUUGGAUGCUCCAGGUGUCCAUGGUCUCUGAACUCAAUUCACACGACAGAGAGGGAUCAAUCCACAGUUCAGUAACAGCUCUCUAUCGAAGUCAUCCCAAUACGACGGUCAAGCCAGUCAAUUCCAUAAGUCCUCAUAUGCAGUUCUAUCCCGAAGAUCUCAAAUCCUUGUGCUCGCUCCUGACGCGAAAAGUUAGCAACUUGGUACCUUCCCUCUCGCGAGUUUUCUAUCCAUCAGCGAGAGUUCCACAACUCGAUCACUUCAAACCUGCCCAUGCAGCCCAAUCUCGCACAUCCUAUAAAAAUACCCCAAGUCAUACGCAACGGUUCCACAAAUCCACCCAGGGGGCUCGAAAUUAGCAUUCCGUAAACCUCCUUCGACUGGUGGAGUAUUAUAGGCUUGGGCAACAUCAUCCUCGUGAUGUCCCAAUCUAGUAUCACAAUUUGUUUGAGGUACGACCUCAAACUCUAACAUCAAAUAGUACUACUCAGACUGCUCACAAUCUUAACGAGUACACCAACACCUCAAGGCCAUUUGACAGGGCCAAUGAGCCUCAGCCACUUCCAAACACCCGGUCGCGGUUCAAUUUGAAUCACGAGAGUCGACACACAGUCGAAACAGCCCAACCGGUCCCACAAUAAGUGAGAGUGCUCCUCCACGAAGCAAAACACCAACUAUAAAGCCUCCCCGCCAUUCGAGCUAACAAUUUGUGACUCGACCGGGGACACAACAACCGAUCAAAGACAUCCUUCAUUUCAAGGAUUCUCGAUCAACCAAAGCUCAUGGCCACUCAAGCCCCAAUUCCUCUCCAACACUCACCUAAUUUCAGGUAAGGGAGACAAUCAACGCAACUAGCGGAAGUAAAUCCUCCAAUCGCACUAAUUCGUGCUCAAAGUCCUUAAGGCGAGUCAAUCAGCUCGCAAUCCAAGGGUACCAGGUACCCACCACAACUCCACACCACGGAAGGCCAAUCUGUUUGCUGGCGCACCAAAACCAUCCUACACGGUAGGGUGGUCGAAACGACGCACCCGAUCAACUAAUCAUCCACACGCGCCGAAGAGUUCAACGCUAACAAAUCCUCGGGUUGGGUCACUAUAUACUCGGUGUGUCCUCGAUCUCACGAUCCAACACGUGACUUCCCACGCUCCAGGGUCUACACUCGGACUACCAUCCUGACCAAAACUCUGCCCUACCCGUAGGUACCGGGCCGCUGUCACAUACAGCCGACUGCGCCUGCCCAACGGGCCCAGGCUUCUGAGUCCCCAAAUGGUCCAGGCACGGUCGUCUCCAAGCAUCAUCCGGCAAACAGCCGAUCCAGGGAUGCAACUAAUGCAAUCCUCGUGAGAUCUACAAGCAUAGCAAAACAUGCUACCCACCACGCGCAAAUCAACCGCCUAGCUCGAGGGGCUACACAACGUCGCAAACAGCGAACUAACGAGGUGCCAUGCAACUCGGCGAAUAGCCGAUCAUAGGUGUAAUGCACUGGUAACCAACAAUGCAUAACUGGAAUGCCACAAAAAAACUGAUACCUGUAGUCACAAACUCAGCUGUUGCCGCCUCCUCCGUCUAGGCCGCGUACAUGCGCCCGCCCGGGGCCCGUCGUGACCCCUCCAUCUGUCUCAGGAUGGGUGGCCUCCCGGCCUGAUAGUGAGUAGAAGGCAUCCCAGGAUGGAACCCGGCAAUACUGGUGCCGAUGUUGAAGAUGGCGCUGAUACUAAACCUCUCGGACAGUCUGACUGGAAAUGACCCUCCUGGCCACACGAGUAGCACCUGCCCUGCCUCUGUGAGCACUGUCGCGGAUAAUGACGACCACCGCAGAUCACGCAGCUCAAAGUCUGACGACGCUCAAAUCCUCUAUGCCGUGCUGAUGAGCCACGUCCUCGCGACUAGGUCUGGUUCCUGGAAUAUCUUGGCGGCCUCCCAGAGUACGUAUGACUCGCACCCUCAGCCGCGGGCCUCUUGCCUUUUCCUUUGUCCGAGUCUUCUCGACGCUCCUACCAGUCUGCCGCGCAGUUUUCCACGAUGAGCGCGCGGGUCACCACCUCUUGGUAAGUCUGAAGGUUGGAGAGUUGUACCAACUGAAAGAUCGACGGCCGAAGUCCUCGCUUGAAGAUGCGAGCCUUAUCCUCGUCAUCCCGCACAACAAAGGACACAUACUGUUGAAGCCGAGAGAACUCCCUCUCAUACUCGGCCACAGUCCGAUCCCCCUGGCGGAUCUCGCGCAGAUCCUGCUCCAUGUUCCUCUUAACGCGGACGAGGAAGUAAUGCUCCAAUAAGAGCUCCUUGAAUCUCUUCCAAGAAAUCGCUGCUACAUCGGUGUUGGGAUUAUCCUGGAUGCCCACCCACCAGCUAUAGGCCUCGCCGUCCAAAUGGUGAGUGGCGAGCUAAACUCUAUCUCUCUCCUCCACGAAAGUAUUGCGGAAUAACUUCUCCAUGUGCAUCAACUACUUCUCAACGAUCCAGUGGUCGGCUUUCUCUCUAUCAAAGGUCCUGGGAUCGCACCUCCUGAACUCGUCGAGGCGAUCCAUGAGCCGCUGCCGUUCCGUUCCUUCGACCAUCAUAGGAAAAGUUACCGCUACCACACGCGCCUGAGCUGGUGGUGCUACCAACACCCCCACCCGAGGUGCCACCGCAAUCGUCGUCUGCGAAGUGUCGAGUACAGGGGACGACUUCCCGGGCGCAACUGUCUCAACUGGCGCGGGUAGUACCGAGACCUGAGCCUCCCCGACAGCUGCCUGCUGUAGAAGAAGGUCCUCCAGGCGCUGCAUCCGUACCUCCUGCCAGCGUGCCGUAUCCGCCAGCUAUCGAGCCGUCGCCGCCUGCUGUGCUACCAAAUCAGUAAGGGUCGCAAGCUGACUCCUCAACUCACGUACCUCUCCGGAUCCGGAGGUAGUGCAUAUCUCAGCUUCCUCAAAAGUCGCCGCAUCGUCCGCUCUAACAGAGUUAGAGCGUGUAGUCGACAUCAUCACUACAGCAUCAUAAAAAUGCAAGUUAAUAAACCCACGCUACCGCAAUCCCGCUCAAAAAUCAGUACCCCAAGUCAAGCGAAAGUAAAGAAGUGUUCUACACUACUAACUCCCGACGUUACGUUGUCGGCCGCCAACGUAACCCUCCGCGAAGUUAGAAGCCAUACACUCCGAUCAAACUCUAACUUUUUAGAGUUGUCAUAAAACCCAAUCGUAAUACUUUCGCUCACAAAUCAAUUAGACCUCGUCUCUCACGAGCCUAAUUCCUAUAGUCCAACCGACCUAAGGUUUGCUAGGUCGACUAAGACUCAACCCUAGACUCUGAUGCCAAAUUAAUCUGUCACGCCCCGGGACCGGCGGAGGCCCUCCCGGUAGCACGCCCAGACCCGCCAUAUGUCUACACAUAUAAGGCGUCUACAAUAAAGCGGAAGUAAAAGUAAGAAAUAACCUACAUCUAAAGAUAUCAGAGCAAGAGUGAUUCUAACAACUACACAAGAGUGAAAGAAGCAUAACCAAAAUAAUAAAAGUAAAGUAUAGAGUAAUACGACAUCAGUCUCAAGUACAAAAAUGGUGGUUUCUAGUACACUGGUAAAACGCUCAACCUCUCACAAAAAGAAAAACCACGAGAGGUAGACCACCUAUCAAACAAUCCCUCGGGAAGAACGCUAGCCCGAGGCGAUACCCUUUCCGCGAUUCCUAGCCUCUCUCGGCGUGGAAGGCUCUGAAAAAUAUCGAGAAAAAGAGGGCGUGAGAACUAUAAUUUAUAGUUCUCAGUGGGCAAUUACUGACCUCAGCUCAAUGCACCACUAGGCUCCGAAAGAAAAGGGUAAGCCAAAAAGAGCAAUAGUAACGAAUAAAUUGCAUUUAUGAAAGCAUAAUUAACAUGCUAAGAUACUACAUUGUGUCAAAUUAAGAUGCACAUUUAUAUCAUUAUGAACAAGUAUGUCCCUACAUGACCACAAGUAACAAUCAUGAUUUGCUUUAUGGUAUUAUGAAAAUCAUGCUUUACUAAGGUAAACAAUGUUUACAUCAAUGCAAUAAGCAACAUCUCCUAACAUGCUAUAUGCAUAUAUGUAUACUCAAGUGUCCAACACUAUGCUAGAAGCAAGUCCAAGUAAUCCAACUACUACUCUCUAUCUAGUAGUGAUUAAAACCCACUCGACACCAUGUCAAUCUUCAUUUUCAAUUAAGGACCUACCCAAGGUAGUCCAGCUUGUGCCGCCUAAGUGCCUGUGGUAGCCCAACAUUUCUGCUCUUGGAAUGUGUCUGUCCCACUGACCCCGUAGGCUUCUCAAUACCGCACGAGUGAACAUAGGUCGCAUAGGCUAACUCCGGAGUGCCGGCUUGUAGGGAGCGACCCUCACAAGCAUGUGUGAAUGAGCACAAAUGGCAAACAAGCGUAGUCAAAGGCUCAAGUAUCCAACCCUCACGUCUCAAACAUGGCAAUAGCUACUAGUAACCCAACGGUCUAGCUCUAUGUCACAAUGCGAUAUCUCAACACUCACUUGCUUAGUGCCUCUUUAUGACACUUAAGCACCACAACUAAUCAAGCUCAAUUCAUGUUCUAUUUUCCAAAUAUGACAUUAAUAUCAAUGUUCACUAUGGCUCGGGGCCCAAUGCAUCUUUAUGACAUUGACCCAAAAUCCCAAAUAAUCUAAGUCCCCAAGCCUCUCUAGGCUUCCAAAGUCCCUAAUGUCACGAUUAGGCAUAAAGGUAAAAUACAUAAAAGCAAUGUUCAUUUUCAUAAUAGGAAUCAUGGUUUCAAGUCUCAAUUAACGAUAAUCAAAUCAUCACAAAUGAGAUUUUCUUAUUGUGUGGCUAGGUCAAACCCACCGAACCGUCGCGUAGUCCUUCGUUUCGC
rnacentral:lncRNA from 1 species